AUGAGACUUUGGCUCCACCUAAUUUUCAUUGUAGCGGCUUUCGAAGGUGUCCGGUCCCAGGUGCAGCUGGUGGAGUCCGGAGGGGAUGUGAAAAAGCCCGGAGACUCUCUCCGCCUCUCCUGCAAAGCCUCCGGGUUUACCUUCAGCAGCUACGAUAUGCACUGGGUCCGCCAGGCUCCCGGGAAAGGGCUGGAGUGGGUCUCGGUUAUCAGCAGCAGCGGGGGUACUAUCUACUACUCCGACGCAGUGAAGGGCCGAUUCACCAUCUCCAGGGACAAUCCCAGCAACCUGCUGUACCUGCAAAUGACCGGCCUGAAGCCCGAGGACACCGCCCGCUAUUACUGUGCCAAAAACCUCCCGUGGCGGUUACCAGAGAAAGUCCCAGCUGGUUUGAUGCUGACAGGCCGCGCUGGGAGCUCACAGGAGACAAUAAUUCCCUCCCCUUUGAAAUGGGGGAAAUGA